CCUACGGGUGGCAGCAGUGAGGAAUAUUGGUCAAUGGUCGAGAGUCUGAACCAGCCAAGCCGCGUGAAGGAGGAAUGUCCAAUGUAUUGUAAACUUCUUUUGUCAGGGAACAAAGACUUCCACGCGUCGGCUGUUGUGUGUACCUUAAGAAUAAGCAUCGGCUAACUCCGUGCCAGCAGCCGCGGUAAUACGGAGGAUCCGAGCGUUAUCCGGAUUUAUUGGGUUUAAAGGGGGCGCAGGUGGUCUGUUAAGUCAGGUGUUAAAGGUCGGGGCUCAACCCGGGAAGUGCAGUUGAAACUGGCAGUCUUGAGUACGAGAGAGGUGGGCGGAAUGCGUGGUGUAGCGGGGAAAUGCAUAGAUAUCGCGCAGAACUCCGAUUGCGAAGGCAGCAUGCUGG
rnacentral:rRNA from 1 species